rnacentral:lncRNA from 1 species
UAGUAUAUAGUCAUGCAUAUAACCACAAUACCAAUCAUACAUGAUAUUCAAAAAAUAGUUAUACAUACAAUCUUUUUUGCCAUUUUUUUGUUUGUUUCAUCUGUAAAGGAUCCAUUUUUUCGUAAAUGUCCUUGUUUCCAGAUAUCCCAUCUGAAAACUUCAGUGCUAAAGCUCACUGAUUCCUAUUAAAUUAUCGUAAUAUAAGAAUCAGAAUGUAUGAAAUGAAUGUUCAUAAAUAUUCAUUAAUGAGUAUAAAACAAGUGUGUGAAUACAUACAAGCUCAUACUUCACAUUUGCAUAUCCC